rnacentral:lncRNA from 1 species
AUCGCAUAGGACUUCUUCUUUUCUAUUAAGAUCGAUAGAUUCCAUCUAGAUGCAUCUUACUCCAAACAGCAAAUCUGAAUCUAUAAUAGUCAAUAUAUACAGUAAGAAUCUGAAUGGCUGGGGAUCAAGAGAACGUGUAGUCAAACUAAAUAACCUCACUGUGAAUAGCCAACACACCGUAGGUCAAAGAAUCAGUCACACCACUGC